GACGAACGCUGGCGGCGUGCCUAAUACAUGCCAGUUGAGCGCUGAAGGUUGGUACUUGUACCAACUGGAUGAGCAGCGAACGGGUGAGUAACGCGUGGGGAAUCUGCCUUUGAGCGGGGGACAACAUUUGGAAACGAAUGCUAAUACCGCAUAAAAACUUUAAACACAAGUUUUAAGUUUGAAAGAUGCAAUUGCAUCACUCAAAGAUGAUCCCGCGUUGUAUUAGCUAGUUGGUGAGGUAAAGGCUCACCAAGGCGAUGAUACAUAGCCGACCUGAGAGGGUGAUCGGCCACAUUGGGACGGAGACACGGCCCAAACUCCUACGGGAGUCAGCAGUAGGGAAUCUUCGGCAAUGGACGAAAGUCUGACCGAGCAACGCCGCGUGAGUGAAGAAGGUUUUCGGAUCGUAAAACUCUGUUGGUAGAGAAGAACGUUGGUGAGAGUGGAAAGCUCAUCAAGUGACGGUAACUACCCAGAAAGGGACGGCUAACUACGUG
rnacentral:rRNA from 1 species